UACGGGGGGGGCAAGCGUUGUUCGGAAUUACUGGGCGUAAAGGGCGCGUAGGCGGCCUGUUAAGUCGAACGUGAAAUCCCCGGGCUCAACCCGGGAACUGCGUCCGAUACUGGCAGGCUUGAAUUCGGGAGAGGGAUGCGGAAUUCCAGGUGUAGCGGUGGAAUGCGUAGAGAUCCGGAAGAACACCGGUGGCGAAGGCGGCCCGCUGGGCUGUGGCUGACGCUGAGGCGCGACAGCGUGGGGAGCAAACAGG
rnacentral:rRNA from 1 species